AGCGAACGCUGGCGGCAGGCCUAACACUUGCAAGUCGAGCGCCGUAGCAAUACGGAGCGGCAGACGGGAGAGUAACACGUGGGAACGUACCCUUUGGUUCGGAACAACCCAGGGAAACUUGGGCUAAUACCGGAUAAGCCCUUACGGGGAAAGAUUCAUCGCCGAAGGAUCGGCCCGCGUCUGAUUAGCUAGUUGGUGGGGUAAUGGCCCACCAAGGCGACGAUCAGUAGCUGGUCUGAGAGGAUGAUCAGCCUCACUGGGACUGAGACACGGCCCAGACUCCUACGGGAGGCAGCAGUGGGGAAUAUUGGACAAUGGGCGCAAGCCUGAUCCAGCCAUGCCGCGUGGGUGAUGAAGGCCCUAGGGUUGUAAAGCCCUUUCGGCGGGGAAGAUAAUGACGGUACCCGCAGAAGAAGCCCCGGCUAACUUCGUGCCAGCCGCCGCGGUAAAAC
rnacentral:rRNA from 1 species